UUACGGUCAUAUCACUUUGAAACACCGGUUUCCGUACGAUCACCGGAGUUAAGCAACGUUGAGCUUUGUCAGUAUCUAGAUGGAUGACAUUUUGAAAAUCCCAGAUGUUGUAAG